rnacentral:rRNA from 1 species
CGAAGGGGCUAGCGUUGUUCGGAAUGACUGGGCGUAAAGGGCGCGUAGGCGGCUUUUUAAGUCAGGCGUGAAAGCCCCGGGCUCAACCUGGGAACGGCGCUUGAUACUGAGAAGCUUGAGGACGGGAGAGGAUGGUGGAAUUCCCAGUGUAGAGGUGAAAUUCGUAGAUAUUGGGAAGAACACCGGUGGCGAAGGCGGCCAUCUGGACCGUAUCUGACGCUGAGGCGCGAAAGCGUGGGGAGCAAACAGGAUUAGAUACCCUGGUAGUCCACGCUGUAAACGAUGUGUGCUAGACGUUGGGGGUUUAAGCCUCCGGUGUCGCAGCCAACGCGUUAAGCACACCGCCUGGGGAGUACGGCCGCAAGGUUA